AGUGAACGCUGGCGGUAGGCCUAACACAUGCAAGUCGAACGGCAGCACAGUAAGAGCUUGCUCUUACGGGUGGCGAGUGGCGGACGGGUGAGGAAUACAUCGGAAUCUACUUUUUCGGGGGGGAUAACGUAGGGAAACUUACGCUAAUACCGCAUACGACCUACGGGCGAAAGCAGGGGAUCUUCGGACCUUGCGCGAUUGAAUGAGCCGAUGUCGGAUUAGCUAGUUGGCGGGGUAAAGGCCCACCAAGGCGACGAUCCGUAGCCGGUCUGAGAGGAUGAUCAGCCACACUGGAACUGAGACACGGUCCAGACUCCUACGGGAGGCAGCAGUGGGGAAUAUUGGACAAUGGGCGCAAGCCUGAUCCAGCCAUACCGCGUGGGUGAAGAAGGCCUUCGGGUUGUAAAGCCCUUUUGUUGGGAAAGAAAAGCAGCAGGUUAAUACCCCGCUGUUCUGACGGUACCCAAAGAAUAAGCACCGGCUAACUUCGUG
rnacentral:rRNA from 1 species